rnacentral:rRNA from 1 species
AACAGGGAAAAGCUCACAGUUGGAACCUAGCUGCCUUAGGUAGUUCGGAUUGUAAACUGAAAAAGUGUUAUCCAGGCUAGCCGAGUAAAUAAGUUUCUUGGAACAGAACAUCAUGGAGGGUGAGAAUCCCGUCUUUGGCUUGAGCAUAGUCUUUUGUGUUGCACUUUAACGAGUCAGGUUGUUUGGGAAUGCAGCCUAAAGUGGGAGGUAAAUCCCUCCUAAAGCUAAAUAUUGGCGAGAGACCGAUAGCAAACAAGUACCGUGAGGGAAAGAUGAAAAGAACUUUGAAAAGAGAGUUAAACAGUAUGUGAAAUUGCUAAAAGGGAAGCGUUUGAAGACAGACUAGCUUGGUUAUAAUCAGCCUGGAUUUUUCUUGGUGUACUUGUAGCCUAUGCUUGUCAACAGCAGUUUGGUUUGGCUGAAAAAAMUGAUAGUAAGGUGGCUCUCUUCGGGGAGUGUUAUAGACUGUUAGAAAAUCAGUUGGACUGGACUGAGGAAUGCAAUGCAGCUUGCCUUGGGGUGAACCAGAUUGGAUAGGAACCAUUGUUCUUUGAAGGUUUGGGUAGCUCUUCGAACUGUAUUUAGGUUGUUGGCUUAAUGUCUUUAAACGGCCCGUCUUGAAACCACGGGAC